UACGGGGGGGGCAAGCGUUGUUCGGAAUUACUGGGCGUAAAGGGCGCGUAGGCGGCCAACUAAGUCGGACGUGAAAUCCCCAGGCUCAACCUGGGAACUGCGUCCGAUACUGGAUGGCUUGAAUUCGGGAGAGGGAUGCAGAAUUCCAGGUGUAGCGGUGAAAUGCGUAGAUAUCUGGAGGAAUACCGGUGGCGAAGGCGGCAUCCUGGACCGACAUUGACGCUGAUGAGCGAAAGCUAGGGGAGCAAACGGG
rnacentral:rRNA from 1 species